UACAGAGGUGGCAAGCGUUGUUCGGAAUUACUGGGCGUAAAGGGCGCGUAGGCGGUUUCGUAAGUCCCGUGUGAAAGCCCCCGGCUCAACUGGGGAAUUGCACGGGAAACUGCGAGGCUUGAGUUCGGGAGAGGGAAGCGGAAUUCCGGGUGUAGCGGUGAAAUGCGUAGAUAUCGGGAGGAACACCAGUGGCGAAGGCGGCUUUCUGGUCUGCUCUUGACGCUGAGGCGCGAAAGCUAGGGUAGCAAACGGG
rnacentral:rRNA from 1 species